CCUACGGGUUGCACCAGUGGGGAAUAUUGCACAAUGGGCGCAAGCCUGAUGCAGCCAUGCCGCGUGUAUGAAGAAGGCCUUCGGGUUGUAAGGUGCUUUCAGCGGGGAGGAAGGUGUUGUGGUUAAUAACCACAGCAAUUGACGUUACCCGCAGAAGAAGCACCGGCUAACUCCGUGCCAGCAGCCGCGGUAAUACGGAGGGUGCAAGCGUUAAUCGGAAUUACUGGGCGUAAAGCGCACGCAGGCGGUCUGUCAAGUCGGAUGUGAAAUCCCCGGGCUCAACCUGGGAACUGCGUUCGAAACUGGCAGGCUGGAGUCUUGCAGAGGGGGGUAGAAUUCCAGGUGUAGCGGUGAAAUGCGUAGAGAUCUGGAGGAAUACCGGUGGCGAAGGCGGCCCCCUGGACAAAGACUGACGCUCAGGUGCGAAAGCAUGGGGAGCAAACAGGAUUAGAUACCCCUGUAGUC
rnacentral:rRNA from 1 species